GAAAUGCGAUAAGUAAUGUGAAUUGCAGAAUUCAGUGAAUCAUCGAAUCUUUGAACGCACCUUGCGCCCCUUGGUAUUCCAUGGGGCAUGCCUGUUCGAGCGUCAUCUACACCCUCAAGCUCUGCUUGGUGUUGGGCGUCUGUCCCGCCCCCGCGCGUGGACUCGCCCCAAAUCCAUUGGCAGCGUUCCUUGCCCCCUCUCGCGCAGCACAUUGCGCUUCUCGAGGGCGGCUCCGGGACGCGAUCCAGCAAGAUGACCACCGUCUUUGACCUCGGAUCAGGUAGGGAUACCCGCUGAACUUAAGC
rnacentral:misc_RNA from 1 species